UUCACGUUUAAAAAACAUUCAUUUUUCACAAUGCCUAAAAAGGACGAGGCUUGGAAAUAUACUGAAGACUUUAUUGGCAGACAAAAAAAUCAAACAAAAUGUUUUUUUUGUAAAGAAAUUAAUUUUGGUGGCAUCAAUAGAUUUAAAUACCAUAUUGUCGGCGUACCUGGCUAUGAUAUUGAGGUAUGUAAAAAACAAACUGCUGAGGCAAAACAUUUCCGUUAUGUCCAAUUAAAAACACAUGAGCAAGAAAAGUUAACUAAGAAGAGGCAAUUGGAAGAGUUAAGUGCUAUUGGCUCCCAUGCACCCGCAUCCGCAUCCGCAGGCUGUGUUGGAGAGGGUUCUUCCAUGCCUCCCUUUUGCCCUAGUGCUUCUGCUAGUGCUAGUGCUUCUACUUCUACUCCUCCUAGUGGCACUAUUACCUUUGGCCCUAGAGUUCGGAAAUCUAGGUUGGAUAGUUAUUUUGUGCCGCGUGGUACUCUUAGGGCACAACCCUUGCUUGAGAGCAUGGGUUGGAACAAGGAGGUUCAUGAUGCUGCAAGAAAACAAAUUUGCAAGUUUUGGUACUUUUGUGACAUUCCAUUUAUUGCAGCCAGGUCUCCUUAUUGGCAAGGCAUGGUAGAUGCCAUAACCAUUUGUGGUGCGGGGUUUAAAGCCCCUACUGAUGCUAAGUUAAGUGGCCCCCUCUUGUUAGAAAUGGUUGAGGAUAUGAAAGUUGAGCUAGAGGCCAUCGACAGUCUUGGAGCCAAAAGGGUUGCACCAUCAUGACAGAUGGUUGGACGGAUAGGAGGAAUAGAACACUCCUAAAUUUUCUUGUUUCCUGCGGAGGAUCCACCAUGUUCUUGAAGUCUAUUGAUGCUUCCUCACAUGUGAAAAAUGCCACAUACUUAUGUGAGGCUAUUGAGGAAGUCAUACAAGAGGUGGGGGAAGAAAAUGUGGUGCAGGCGGUGACAGAUAAUGCAGCAAGUUAUGCUGCUGUAGGUAAACUUUUGAUGGAGAGGCACCCAAAAAAUUUUUGGUCUCCAUGUGUGGCCCAUUGCCUUGACCUCAUGUUGGAGGAUGUUGGUAAGCUUGAAUGGGUGAAAUCAAUAGUUGAAAGGGCCAAAAAUAUCAGCAAGUUUAUCUACAAUCAUGCAUUGAUCCUUUAGCAUUAUGAGGCAAUACACGGGGCAAAAGGAGUUGGCUCGUCCUGCUUUCACGAGGUUUGCCUCAAACUUCCUCACAUUGAAAUCCUUGAUGACAUCAAAGGCGGCUUUGAGGCGUAUGUUUGUUGGUGAGGAGUGGACUUCCUCAUCCUAUGCUACGACCACUGCAGGGAUAGAUGUGGUAAAUUGCAUUUUUGAUGAGCCAGGUUUUUGGACCCCCUGUGGAGAAACCGUGCAGGUCACCGAGCCCCUCGUAGUUCUCCUACGAGUUGUUGAUGGGGAGAAGCCCUCUAUGGGCUAUAUAUAAGAGGGUAUGGAUAGGGCCAAGGAGGCCAUUAGGUCCAUAUAUGCAGGAGAUGAGGAUAAGUAUGGCCCCAUUUGGGAGAUUAUUGAUAGGAGAUGGCAGAACCAACUUCACAGGCCCAUCCAUGCAGCAGCCUAUUACCUCAAUUCGGCAUUUCGAUUCCGUGAUGACUUCAAGGCGGAUGAGGAGGUUCUUAGUGGCCUGUAUACAGUGAUUCAGAAGUUGUGUACUGAUGGCACAACCUCAAGUACAACGCUCCAGUUGGAUAAAUAUAAUAAUCGAGAAGGGGCAAUCUUCGCAAGCAGCAUGUGCAUAGAGGCUCAGACACAAUUGCAACCAGAUAGAUGGUGGCAAAUGUUUGGGCCCUCAACCCCAAACCUUCAAAAAAUUGCCAUCCGUAUUUUGAGUUAGCCAUGCAGCACUUUUGGAUGUGAGCGCAAUUGGUCCAUGUUCGAGCACAUCCACUCGAAGAGGCGUAAUAGAUUGUCUGUGGAGAGGUUGAAUGAUCUUGUUUUUGUUCAUUACAACCUCCGUCUUAGGACCAGACAGAUUUUGGACACUGACUCCUCUCCGAUCACUUUAGCGGAGAUCGAUCUAGAGUCUGAGUGGAUCAUUGAGUCUACCGAUCCCGUCUUCACUGAGGAGGACCAUGAGUGGGUUGACCAGGCAGACAAAGAGGCUGAGGCUGUGGCUAUGGUAGAGGAGGAGGAUAGAGCACGAUCCGGCACAGGCACCUCACAGGCGGAGACUAUGGCUACUCAAUCAUCCAGGACCUACCUUAGACGCAUUUGUAGGAGGCAGACAGACUACUCUGAGGCUGAGGAUGAGCUAGAGCCUGAGCCAUAGACUUGUUUUUGUUUACAGUUAUAUAUAUGCUUGGGAACAUUUGAUGUCAUGGAUUUUAUAUACAUUUGACAACAUUUAUAACUCUAUAUAUUUAUGUUUUCUAUUUCCUUCUGCUACAAUUUACAUUUCUAUGCAUGUGAUGGAUUUCUGUUUAUGUAUGUGAUCAAAUUAGCUUCUAUUUGAUGAUGGUAUAGUGUCUUUAAGCUUUAUUCAAUAAUGGGUGCAUGAACCAAGUUUUAAAUCGUUAAAAAUCUCUAAAUUUCAAGGGUUUUUUAAUUUUGCCGAGUCACGAGUUGAGUCGGCCUUGCCGAGUCCGAGUCUAGGAACUCUGGGUUGAACGUCGUUCAUCUCUUUUGCUUUAGACAAAACCCAAAGGUAAGAUUGAAUUUUGUAGUAUAAGAUUCCUCCCCUGCCAAUACCGUGUGAUUCAUUCAAAGUCAUAGUGUGUGCAAAAAGGGUAUAAAGGUGGAUUUAGACAGAGUUCACAUUUGGGCUGAAUAUUUGUAGAGUAAAAGUUUGGAGCAAAUAAUUUUGUCUACACAAAAUUAUAGAGAUUAGUAGGAAACAAAUUUGUAGAUGAUUUGCAAGCAAAUUACAAAUUUUUAUGUGUGUAUGAGUGGAAAAGAAAACAAAAAUCAGUGUUGUGUGUGUAGUGGAGAAAUUUAUUCAAAAUAAUAUAUUUUAUUCUAGCUGGAAUCUACCCAGCCAUACCAUUUUGGAGGCCCAAUAGAGGGCCAUACAUAUUGCUUGGUCAUCAUAAAUAGAAUCGAUGCUCAUUUGGAAGGCAUAAUUGUUGGAAUUUGUGCGCCCUUCGUCCCUUUGGUUGUUUAGUGCCACCCUCAGGGAUUCGCGACAUGGCUUAACAACCUCCUGUGGUUUGUCUAUCUUUGGUGUUUGUAUCGGGCGUUAACAAGUCGAUCUUUUGGCGCAACAACAAAAUUUGGCUAACAAAUGGUAUCGGAGCUUAGGUCAUGGGUUUGAAUUGCUCGGUCGAGUUGGGGGGGAUUGUUGGAAGGUGUGUGCCCUUUGUCCCCUUGGUUGUUCAGUGCUUCCCUUGGGGAUUUGCAACAUGGCUUAAUCGCCUCUCGUGGUUUGUUUAUCUUUGGUCUUUGUAUCGAGCGUUAACAAGUCGAUCGUUUAGCACAACAACAAAUUUUGGCUAACAAUAAAAGCCUUGAUAAAAUCUGUUGUAGCCUUUAAUAGGUUCUAAAAGGCCAGUGCAGCAUUUAAAAGGGGUAUUGCAACCUUUAACAGGGUUCUGUAGCAAUAAGGGAUCAGUACAACCUUUGGGGAGUGCCAUACAGCCUUGAGGAGGCUUCAAAAAGUAUGAAGGGCUGCUGAUCGGAUAAAAGCGAAUUCUGAUUGGUCUGUACAACAUGG